rnacentral:rRNA from 1 species
ACGGAAGGCAGCAGAGGGGAAUAUUGCACAAUGGGGGAGACCCUGAUGCAGCGACGCCGCGUGAGUGAAGAAGUAUUUCGGUAUGUAAAGCUCUAUCAGCAGGAAAGAAAAUGACGGUACCUGACUAAGAAGCCCCGGCUAACUACGUGCCAGCAGCCGCGGUAAUACGUAGGUGGCAAGCGUUGUCCGGAUUUACUGGGUGUAAAGGGUGCGCAGGCGGGACUGCAAGUUGGAUGUGAAAUGCUGAGGCUCAACCUCAGAACUGCAUCCAAAACUGUAGUUCUUGAGUGGAGUAGAGGUAAGCGGAAUUCCGAGUGUAGCGGUGAAAUGCGUAGAUAUUCGGAGGAACACCAGUGGCGAAGGCGGCUUACUGGGCUCUAACUGACGCUGAGGCACGAAAGUGUGGGUAGCAAACAGGAUUAGAUACCCUGGUA